rnacentral:rRNA from 1 species
AUUGAACGCUGGCGGCAUGCUUUACACAUGCAAGUCGAACGGUAACAGGCCGCAAGGUGCUGACGAGUGGCGAACGGGUGAGUAAUGCAUCGGAACGUGCCCAGUCGUGGGGGAUAACGCAGCGAAAGCUGUGCUAAUACCGCAUACGAUCUAUGGAUGAAAGCGGGGGACCGUAAGGCCUCGCGCGAUUGGAGCGGCCGAUGUCAGAUUAGCUAGUUGGUGGGGUAAAGGCCCACCAAGGCGACGAUCUGUAGCUGGUCUGAGAGGACGACCAGCCACACUGGGACUGAGACACGGCCCAGACUCCUACGGGAGGCAGCAGUGGGGAAUUUUGGACAAUGGGCGCAAGCCUGAUCCAGCAAUGCCGCGUGCAGGAAGAAGGUCUUCGGGUUGUAAACUGCUUUUGUACGGAACGAAACGGUCUGGGUUAAUACCUCGGGCUAAUGACGGUACCGUAAGAAUAAGCACCGGCUAACUACGUGCCAGCCGCCGCCGUAA